rfam:Picea glauca, whole genome shotgun sequence.
GGGUGUGAUCAUACCAGUGUUAAUGCACCGUAUCCCAUCGGAACUCUAUAGUUAAGCAUGCUUGGGCUAGAGUAAUACUGGGAUGGGUGAACUCCUAGGAAAUUCUACUGUUGAAUGCU